AUUGGGGUGGCAGAGCAUGGUAAAUUGCGAAAGAUUUAAGCCCUUUAAGUGAGAGGUUUAAAUCCUCUUCCGUC
rnacentral:tRNA from 1 species